AUGUCCUACGGGAGGCAGCAGUGAGGGAUAUUGGUCAAUGGGGGAAACCCUGAACCAGCAACGCCGCGUGAGGGAAGACGGUUUCCGGAUUGUAAACCUCUGUCCUCUGUGAAGAUAAUGACGGUAGCAGAGGAGGAAGCUCCGGCUAACUACGUGCCAGCAGCCGCGGUAAUACGUAGGGAGCAAGCGUUGUCCGGAUUUACUGGGUGCAAAGGGUGCGUAGGCGGCCCUGCAAGUCAGAAGUGAAAUCAAUGGGCUUAACCAGUGAACUGCUUUGGAAACUGUAGGGCU
rnacentral:rRNA from 1 species